AAGCUCGUAGUUGAAUUUCGGGAUUGACGUGACGGUCGUGCCUUAAGGGGCGUGAACUGUCGCCGUUGAUUUCUCACCUUCUGGAGAAGCUCGAUGUCCUUAAUUGGAUGUCUUGUGGAACCAGGACCUUUACCUUGAAAAAAUUAGAGUGUUUAAAGCAGGCAUUUUGUUCGAAUACAUUAGCAUGGAAUAAUAGAAUAGGACGGCAUGGUUCUAUUUUGUUGGUUUCUAGGAUCACCGUAAUGAUUAAUAGGGAUAGUUGGGGGCAUUAGUAUUCAAUUGUCAGAGGUGAAAUUCUUGGAUUUAUUGAAGACUAACUACUGCGAAAGCAUUUGCCAAGGAUGUUUUCAUUAAUCAAGAACGAAAGUUAGGGGAUCGAAGACGAUCAGAUACCGUCGUAGUCUUAACCAUAAACUAUGCCGACUAGGAAUCAGACGAUGUUAAUUUUUUAAUGACUCGUUCGGCACCU
rnacentral:rRNA from 1 species